rnacentral:rRNA from 1 species
GUGGGGAAUAUUGGACAAUGGGCGAAAGCCUGAUCCAGCAAUGCCGCGUGAGUGAUGAAGGCCUUAGGGUUGUAAAGCUCUUUUACCCGGGAAGAUAAUGACUGUACCGGGAGAAUAAGCCCCGGCUAACUCCGUGCCAGCAGCCGCGGUAAUACGGAGGGGGCUAGCGUUGUUCGGAAUUACUGGGCGUAACGCGCACGUAGGCGGUUUUGUAAGUUAGAGGUGAAAGCCUGGGGCUCAACCCCAGAAUUGCCUUUAAGACUGCAUCACUUGAACGUCGGAGAGGUGAGUGGAAUUCCGCGUGUAGAGGUGAAAUUCGUAGAUAUUCGGAAGAACACCAGUGGCGAAGGCGGCUCACUGGACGACUGUUGACGCUGAGGUGCGAAAGCGUGGGGAGCAAACAGGAUUAGAAACCCCAGUAGUCC